rnacentral:rRNA from 1 species
UACAGAGGUCUCAAGCGUUGUUCGGAUUCAUUGGGCGUAAAGGGUGCGUAGGUGGCGCUGUAAGUCGGGUGUGAAAUUUCGGAGCUUAACUCCGAAACUGCAUUCGAUACUGCGGUGCUUGAGGACUGGAGAGGAGACUGGAAUUUACGGUGUAGCGGUGAAAUGCGUAGAGAUCGUAAGGAAGGCCAGUGGCGAAGGCGAGUUCCUGGACAGUGACUGACGCUGAGGCACGAAGGCCAGGGGAGCAAAACGGG